rnacentral:rRNA from 1 species
CACGUAGGGGGCAAGCGUUGUCCGGAUUUAUUGGGCGUAAAGAGCUCGUAGGCGGUUCGAUAAGUCGGGUGUGAAAACUCUGGGCUCAACUCAGAGACGCCACCCGAUACUGUCGUGACUUGAGUCUGGUAGGGGAGUGUGGAAUUCCCGGUGUAGCGGUGAAAUGCGCAGAUAUCGGGAGGAACACCAGUGGCGAAGGCGGCACUCUGGGCCAGUACUGACGCUGAGGAGCGAAAGCGUGGGGAGCGAACAGG